CAGUAGGGAAUCUUCCACAAUGGGCGAAAGCCUGAUGGAGCAACGCCGCGUGAGUGAAGAAGGAUUUCGGUUCGUAAAACUCUGUUGUAAGGGAAGAACAAGUACAGUAGUAACUGGCUGUACCUUGACGGUACCUUAUUAGAAAGCCACGGCUAACUACGUGCCAGCAGCCGCGGUAA
rnacentral:rRNA from 1 species